CAGGUUUGACUGGCACUUUUUUUGGGUUGUUAAGGUGUGUGAGUGUGUGAGUGUGUGUGUGUGUGGGGGGGUAAUUUGUAGUAAUUGUUCAUUGCAGGUAUUUUGGUAGUUGUAUUUUCUUUAUUUGCAGAAGUGUGUACAUUUUCUUCUGUGUUAUUUCUGUGUUAAGUGUGUUUGUUUCAACAUCCUCAUUUGCAGGAGUGUUUAUUUCGGGGGUUAUUUUGUAGUUUGUUUAUUUGUUUGUUUCCAGUUAUGUUUCUCUUUAUUGGGGCUUGCGUCUUAUUACAUUGUGAUUUUUAGAUGAACUGUUAUAAAAUGAAACUCAAGCUUUGUAUUUUAACCUGUCUCAGCUGUGAGUAGAUGGUUGGAAUUUCCCAAGGGUGAAAUUCUCUUGGGUGGCGUUGUCAGUUGAAGAAUGGCACCUCGUGCCGCUCUGUUGCGCUACAUUAGCAUUAGCACCACACAGUUCUUUGCUAAAUAAAAAUCACAUGUUGAAACGUAACAUUUUUCCUUCGUGAUUCAAGUGCAUACAGAGGGCAGUUAAGCUAUUUUAAGUGAAAAAUGAUGCAAAAGUCUCCACACUGAUUGUUUUGUCUUGUAGAUUGGGAGUAUGUUGAAAGGUGUUCCACAAGGGUCUAUACAGGGUCCUCUAUUAUUCCUUUUUCUUAUAAGUAACCUAAAAUAAACCAACCAAUUCUGAACUUAAGUUUCCACAGCAAAUAGAAAAAGGGCACUUUUUAAAAGACUCCCCUUGGAGUUUCAAAAGUUUGGAUUCAAGUGUUAGAAUAAUGUGCAUAAAUGUAUAUAGAAGUUAUCAUUAUUCCUCAUAUUCUUAUGUAAGAGUUGACUACAAGUAUAAAAACUGUUUUGACCUCUUUUUAUACAUUAUAUAAGAGUGUUUCCUAACUUCUCUCUCCAAUAGAUUUACUACACAGCAGAACAAUGUUCUUUCAGUUUUCUGUGACUGGGUCUUUCCUAUCAGCAGGUGGGGGUGUGUGAGUGAUGGAUCCUCCGCAAUAAAUCGUGGGGAGUUUUUGAGGAGGUGCCGCUGUUAUCAGAAGGAGCUCAUUAGAUGCCGCCUUGACCUUCACAUAUUCACAAGUGUUCAUUAUUAUGCUUUAUGAGAAUGUUUACUUUGCUGCACCAUCUACCACCCCUUUUAGAAACAUUAUGUAACCAGGGACAAGACUAAAUAAAAGAGACUGGGCGGAAAUACCUUUAGAGUGGUUUCGACAUGGUACCUGAAGCUAUCUCGGUCCAUUCUCCUCGAGUAUAUACCAUUGUCUUUCUCUUCUUUAUAUGUUAUCAGGUAAAUGUUGCAGGUUUUAGACCUAACAUUUCUUUGGUCCUUCGAGCCGGAUUCCAAUAGACCAGACGAUUCCAGCAGGUGAGGUGGACGACAGAUAAGACCGUGGCCACGGCAGACUCUUUAGGAUGAGUCUUGAAGACCUCUUUGAGGAACUGGACUCGACCUGCCUGCUGGGAUCCGACGGUUGACGGAAAUCCGAAGCCAAGGGGAAAGACAAGUGGUGAGUUGGUCUCUUAUAAAAAGGAACGUGGAAUGAUUGAGAUUCGCUUCGCGUAGAGAAUCUAUAAAAGACCAAACAAACAAAAGGACGCACAGGUCCUACGUAUAAAAAUCUGUGGAAAAGGACGCACGGGUCCUACGUAUAAAAAUCCGUUGAAAAGGACGCACGGGUCCUACGUAUAAAAAUCCGUUGAAAAGGACGCACGGGUCCUACGUAUAAAAAUCCGUUGAAAAGGACGCACGGGUCCUACGUAUAAAAAUCCGUGGAAAAGGACAAACGGGUCCUACAAAUCUGUGAAAAAAGGACGGUAGAGUCCAAAUUGGAAAAUUUUAAUUCAAGGACGCACGGGUCCUACAAAGCCGUUAAAAAAUUCUGCAGAACAAAACACGUGUUAAAAGUGUGAUUGUGAAAGUGUGAGAGUGAUUGGAAUAGAGAUAUAUCACUAGAUAUAUCCUAUUCAUACCAAAACAGUGGGAUUGUAAGUAGUGACCUUAUUGUGGAAGCAAAGGCAAGAAUUCUCCACUCGCAAGAGUAGAAGUGAGAAUUACCACAUAAGGAAUUUUUUAUCACUACCCCAUUGAAAGAACCCAGCUUAAUAGGACACCCUAGGUGUCACCUAAGCUGGACCAAAACACAUAAAAAUGGGGACGGAAACCAGUAAGGCUAAUUUGGAACAAUUAAGAUGUCAAGAUUGGAGAAUCUUUGAAAAAGAGCCAGAAAAAUUACAAUUCCUCGAAUUAUGGGUAACUAAAUUUGGAUUCGAUGGCAGCCUAAGAACAAGCCAAUUAAAUAAACUACACGACUCCAUAAGCAUAAAAUAUGGGUGUCAAAUGAUUGAUGAAUGGAAAAAAGUAGCAAAAGCCAGAGAGGAUGGAGAAAGGAGGAGAAAAAAGGGAAGAACAAAUGGAGCUAGUGCAUUUUUUGCAGAAGGUGACAAUGAAAAUGAAGCCUUCUAUCAAAAUGCAAGAGGCAGAAGCAGAAGAGGAUUCAGAGGUAGAGGACAAGAUAGGCCCAGACCAGGAGGAGCAAAUCAAAGAGGGACAUGUUGCUGGGCAUGUGGAAAGGAGGGACAUAUAGCCCGCAGUUGCAAUAACAAAUCAAAGGGAGGAAGGCGUGAGCAGUCAGGACGAGAUCAAAAGCUAUAAGUAAAGACAACUUAAUAAUAAUAAUAAUUAUAAUAAUAAUACUGAUAAUAAUGCAGAAAUGAAAGGUAGAAAAGGCAGUUAAAUAGGCAGAAAGGUUUAAUGCAGACUGCAAAUUUUUAACAAGUUAAAUUCUCUGUACAGUCUCUGUUCUCUGCACAAAUGCUAGAAUGAUACAUCAGAGGCCAGUUACGACCUUGACUCCUCCAGAGACACAGCAGCCAAAGAAUCCCUCCCUAUGCAGAAGCAUGUAGCUAUAAAAAGACAAAACUGUGACUUAACUGUUACAGCCUAUGAAGUAUAAGUUGUACAUGUAGACGUGUCACUGGAGAAGAAGAGGUUUUCUGACCUCAGCUGGCAUCCCUGUUAAACAUUUGAACCAACUGAUUGAUAUUAUACCUUAUUGGAACUUAAAGAAGUAACCAUAGUAAAGUGCAGAGAACACCAAAGCUAACUUGGAAUUAAAAACCCUCUCUAUAAUGCUAUUUAACUUAAGAUUAACUCCAAAUGUGACAAUGAAUUUCAUACUAUAUGAGAUAAAUAGGACGACUAUGGAAUAAUAAGAGAGAUGAUAAACCGUUUGAUGACUAUGACAAAGAGAACAAGAAAGAAGCAGGUUAAGAGGCAGGAAUUUCAAUAGAGAAAACAAUAGAAGAAGUAGAAGUUUUGACAAAAGUUAUGAAUCACAAGAGCAAAGAGAUAAAGAACAGUACCCUGACCAAGGUCAUGAACCACAACAUCAGAGAAUUGUAGAGCUUUUUUGUCACUAGGUAAAGAGCUGUAGAAAAACGUAUCAAGCAGGACUAGAAGAGGGAGAGACAGCAAAUGUUAUUUGACAGAAAUAAAGAGAAAGUGUGAACAGAGACGAGACAGAGGAGGAAGAAGUGCUAAACUUGGAGAAGAUAAAUAAAUAUAUAAAGAUAUUUUGAUAGAUAGAUUGAUAGAUAUACUUUAUUGAUCCCAAAUUGGGAAAUUCUCUUGUUAUAGCAGCAAAAAGAAAAUAUAAAAUUAAAUAUAAUAAGUAGUACAAUGCAGACUAAAAAUAAUAAAAAUACUAAGUAUAUACAAUAAAUAUAGGCUAAAUAUACUAAACAUCCUAAGAGAUAAAAGUGAGAUAUGAAGAAUGUGGGCUAUUGAAAUUAGUAAAAAAUAUGAAAUGAGUAAUAAAUAUGAAAUGAGAAAUAUUACAGAUGGGAUGAUAGAUAUACAAUUUAAGGUGCUCUGUAAUAUGAUGUGAUAGGAGUUUUUAAGAAUGGACUAUACAGCAGACAGGCGUGAGUCCCUGUCUGACAUAUGUGAGUUAUUUAACAGUGCAAUAACUUGUGGCAGGACAGAUUUCCUGUAUCAGCGGAGCUGCAACAGUCUGUUGGUGAAGGAAUACAGUGUGCAGACAUAAAACCGCAGAGAUAGUUAAUGAUUCAUGGUUUACCUUAACCUUUUUGUGUGACUCCGGUGCAAAGAAAACAGUUCUUAGACAUAAACUAUCACAGAUUAGGUUUUCCAAACUAAAGAUUUUUGUCAAAUCAACACACAGAGAGAGCUUGAGAGGUAGUAAUAGCGAGUCAUGGGCCUUGCCAUGUCUCGACAGGAGGGAGGAGUGUAGUAGUUAACCCUAUUGAUUCAUAAAUUAUUUUAAAAAAAAAUAAUAAUAAUAAUAAAUAAAAAAUAAAUAAUUUACUAUUUGAUUUGUUCAGUUUGUUUAAGACAUAAUGCUCAAGACAGUAUAAAACCAAAAAGAGGCAAAUUUCCACCAACCAAUGCAUUAUUUGAAGCCAUGCACAUGGACUUCAUAGAAUUAAAUCAGUGUGAGAGAAAGAAAUAUUGUUCAGUGUUAAUAGAUCCUUUCACUAAAUGGAUAGAAUUAUUUCCUGUUACCCAUCCAGAUGCAUUAACAGUAGCAAAAAUCCUGCGUAGAGAAAUAAUUUCUUGAUUUGGCAUUCCAAAACGAAUCUACAGUGACAAUGGAACUCAUUUUGUCAAUGAAAUAAAUAAAUAAAUAAAUAAAUAAUAAUAACUAGAAAAUGCAAGUUCUGAAGAAAUUGCGAGAUGGAUUGCUCCAGCUAAAAUUGUAAUUGCUAAGCUGCUAUUGUAAAUGGUUUAAGUUCAAAAAUUAUGCGAAAGAUAUGAGAUUUGAAGAUUCAGAAAGGGUUGAAUCAGUUUAAAUGAGUUGAAAUUAGUUUGAAAAAAUUGAAUACUGAAUGAAGAAUGAAAUGAUUUAAAACUGAAAAAAUUAAAAUGAUCAUAAUCUGAAUGUAUAGAGGAGUUGAAGGCUUUUAAAGUUGUGUAAAGAAAAUGUGAGAAAAGGGCCAAUUUAAAAAUUCCGUAAUGUAUUUCUAAUAAGAAAAAUUGGUUCGAAAACCUGGAAUAUCCCGGAAAGGAAGAAUGUUAGGAAAAUUUUGAAUAUAAGCUGGAAUCUCCUGAAGUUUGAAUGGUUUUUAAUACGUUGAAGUAAGUGGAAGGAAUUAAAAAAAAAAUAAAGGUACUGCUAAUGACACCCACAGCAGUAAAAAUAGCACAAAGAAGUAGUUGGAUACAUCUUUCCCAUUGCAAAAAACCUAUAUGGGUUUUAGUUAGGAAAGUCUGACUUCAAAGGGGGGCGUCCUUAUAGUGGGCGUUCGUCUCAAUGUCAGUGAAGAUUAGAUGGUGUUGAAUUCCUUAGGAGCUUAGGAAAAUGGGAAAGUUAAGUAUCUUACUUCUGCUAAACCUGAAACUGUUAAUUUACCUACUGAAACAUUAUUUACAACUUCAGAUGAACUUAAGGAAGGAAAGAGAAGUGACAACAACGAUAGUCCUCACAUCCUGUGUGACUACCAAUCAAAAAUCACAUUCAGCUGUUCUGAAGGCGACCAUGUGCAGAGAGCAAACCUGAGAGACAGUGAGCAGGGGUAUGAAUCACCCAGACGGACACCACAGUUGCUUCAUGUAGUGAAGACACUGAGAACUUUACCAUAGCUUAACUGCUACUAGGCGUUUCUGUUAUUUUGUUUACAAUGGGAUUUUGUGCAUGCUUGUUUUGUCAAUAAACACUUAUACUUAUGUUUAUUAAAGGUACAUCACAAAAUAAAAAAAAAAUUAGUUAACAAAAAUGAUGGAAGAAUAAUAUUAAUAAAGAUAUGAAUAACAUAUAGUGGAAUGCUUCGCAAUCCCUCUCAAUAAAUAAUAAUUAAAAAAAAAAACUAAUUUGAAGUGAACAUGUGGUACAGAUAUGCAAAAAUAUCUAGUAAAAAUGAAGAAUCAGUCUAACUUCUAUGUCUGUACUAGGAAUUCCCUAACCAUAACAAAAGUGUAUGUGUUUUCUGUAGCUGUACCUGAAUGACAGCAGACUGAUAAUAGGGCCUUAGUAACUUUAAUCCUAACUGUUAUAACUUUCUAGACCAGUGUGACAAAUUUAACCUCUGCAGUUAGUCUUAUUCCUUUGUUGAGCCACUCCAGAGUAAAAGAAAUUAGCAAACAGAGUCAGACCCGACUUAUAUAGAUAGUUCCUUGUGAGGUACCAGAUGAGUAUAAACUAGUAAAUCAAGUUGCUGCAGGCUUUGAGUCUCUCGUCUGUCCUUGGUGUACAAUGAACAAAAAUAUAGAUCAAAUCAGAAUCAACUACAUCCAUUUCAACGUUCAAAAGCUAGGUAAUUGGACUGAGGCUGGUUUUCAGGCCGUUCACUCGCAGUUAUCUGUAACAUCCCUGAUGGCUUUCCAAAACCGUAUAGCCCUUGACACGCUGCUUGCAGAAAAAGGAGGUGUAUGUGCCAUGUUUGGAGAAACGUGUCGCACGUUCAUUCCUGAUAACACUGCUGCUGAUGGCAGCCUCACUCGAGCCAUAGAGGGCCUAAAAACGCUUCACAGCAAAAUGAAAGACCACUCAGGAAUAGAUAACUCCUCUUGGGACAAUUGGAUGAAUGUAUUUGGGAAAUACAAAAAAUCUUGUAGAUUCAGUCCUAAUCUCUGUUGCUGUUUUUGCAGCUAAUUUGACCUUGUGUGGAUGUUGUUGUAUUUCUGUAUUUGUUCUCUUCUUAACCGUCUUAUCACCGCAGUGUUGUCUCCUGUGGAGCAGCAGAUGCAGGAAUUGUACCCGCUGCUCCAUCAGCAGGACGAGGAGGACAGAUUUGAUGACACUCAAUGGCCUGACCUGUGCCCUAAUCCAGAUGAUGAGUAUAAUUCUGACUAAAGCAACGUCUUGUACCUCCGUGUGUAAAUUCUUUGUAGUCAUACACAUGAACUCGCAGCUGAAAAUCGAGAGAAGUGGCUGAACUAGAGGGAUUAUGAGAAUUUGAGCAAAGUAAUGAUAAACAGGAGGGAAAUGUUAGAAUAAUGUGCAUAAAUGUAUAUAGAAGUUAUCAUUAUUCCUCAUAUUCUUAUGUAAGAGUUGACUACAAGUAUAAAAACUGUUUUGACCUCUUUUUAUACAUUAUAUAAGAGUGUUUCCUAACUUCUCUCUCCAAUAGAUUUACUACACAGCAGAACAAUGUUCUUUCAGUUUUCUGUGACUGGGUCUUUCCUAUCAGCAGGUGGGGGUGUGUGAGUGAUGGAUCCUCCGCAAUAAAUCGUGGGGAGUUUUUGAGGAGGUGCCGCUGUUAUCAGAAGGAGCUCAUUAGAUGCCGCCUUGACCUUCACAUAUUCACAAGUGUUCAUUAUUAUGCUUUAUGAGAAUGUUUACUUUGCUGCACCAUCUACCACCCCUUUUAGAAACAUUAUGUAACCAGGGACAAGACUAAAUAAAAGAGACUGGGCGGAAAUACCUUUAGAGUGGUUUCGACAUGGUACCUGAAGCUAUCUCGGUCCAUUCUCCUCGAGUAUAUACCAUUGUCUUUCUCUUCUUUAUAUGUUAUCAGGUAAAUGUUGCAGGUUUUAGACCUAACACAAGCCACUUACACCCAAUUUUCUGUGUGAAAGAAAUGUCCAAAACCAAAUUGCUGUUUUCUACUGAAUCUUUGCCUCUGAAUUUGUGGAAAACAUUGCACAUCCACUCUUGUGUGGCUAUAAAGCUUUCAUAACUCAUCCAUAUGAUCUCCUCUGGCUCCAUAUAACAUGACAGCAAAGGCCAAAAUCCCAAGUCCAGUCAGCCAGGUGAGUAGAUCUUCUUUUUCUGUUCUAUGAUUGAUACUUUAGUCGCCCUUAUCAUGACAGAGGUAUGAUUUAAACAGACAUUUUGAUGUGAAAAGACCUGUCUGUACAUACUGAGUAUGUCUGUACUCCGCUCUGUGUCCUGGUUGAACAGUUCAGUUUUGGAUUUAUGAGUUAUCAGCUCAUUUGUUGAAGUGAAAUUGAGGCUCAUUCAUUCUGCCUCUUUUAGAGUCAUGUACCCCACUUUAUCCUCAGAGACAUGUCACUUGAUUUGCUUUAACUCCUCCGAUUAUAUAUAACCUGUAAUUCUGCCUUUGAUUAUCUUGGGCUGCCACCCCUGUGAAUUAAUCUGUUAAUUAGCGUUUGCAGCUUGUGUUGACUCACUUUGUCACUUCCUGCUUGUAAUUACAGAGAGAAGGCUGACAUGAAUGACUUCGCCUGGCUGACAGGUCGUAUUUAUGUUCGAUCACAGACAACAGGGAGGCAGGAUCAGCCUGCAGACGGCCUGAUAAUCUCUACAGGGGCUGAUAUCUCAGAUUUGGGAAACCUGAAGGAGGUCUGCAGGGUGUUUUUCAAAAUACAAAAUCAACCAUUUUUACACUGUAGAGAUUCUCCUCAGGGGUCACACUCAGAGACAGAGACACACUGCUGUGCUGUUAUGUUACCAUGGGGUAAAAAUGCUCCUGAUAACUCAUUCAAAUUAUAACCAUUUCAACACAUCAGUUAAAAACUAGUUUGGUGAAAUUUCAGGAAGCAAAUAAGACUUGGCUCCACUCAAAGUUGAUCCACUGACUGGCUACCAGCACAUCAGCUACUGUUAACAUAACAUACAUAGGAGUCAGUCAGACAGGACAUGAUCGUUUCUGAACACUGAGACCUUUAUGCUAGGUCAGUGGUUCUCAAGUCCAGUCCUCGAGGCCCACUGUCCUGCAUAUUUUGGAUGUUUCCCUGCUCCAACACACCUGAUUCAAAUGAUCAGCUCGUUAUCAAGCUCUGUAAUGGCUUACUAACGAGCUGAUCAUUUGAAUCAGGUGUCUGACUGGACUUGAGAACCACUGUGCUAGGGUGACCAUACGUCCUUUUUUACCCGGACAUGUCCUCUUUUUGGGGGCUGUCUCGCCUUGUCUGGGGGGGUUAUAAAAUCCCUCAAAUGUCUGGGGUUUUGUAUGGAAGUUUUGAGUUUGUGUCGCAUGGAUUUACUGAGUUAGAAGCACGUAAAAAACACUCGACCCGACCUGAAAAACUCUCAAAAUUUGCAAAUUGCGACUUCAUGUUGUUGUGUCACCCUACUUCAUGCUCUUUAUCCACUAAUCCAAUGAGGAAACUCAGUCAUUAAAAUAAAGACCAUCACUGCAGAGGAGUGUUUACUCCUUUCCUACUGCACUGUGAAAAUAUGUUAGCAAGACAUUAGCUAAUGCCAGGCAUUAGCUUACAAAACUAAUAACAACAGUGUUGUUUCCGUUGACACUCCUUUUUUUCCACGACGAAGACAUGACAUUGACGAGCUAAACAUCAGUCUUAGAUGACUAAAAUAUGACGAGACGAAUGUUCGUUUACGUUGACGAGAUGGGACUAGACGAAACGUUAGUGGUGGAUGACGAACAGAGUUGCAAAAUUCAUGAGCAUUUCGUCAGUCAAACACUGAACAUAUAUCCUGCAGUGUUGUUUUCUUUGACGAUGACGUUGAAGAAAUAUUUCUGUUGUCUUCGUCAACGAAAACAACACUGAUUAACAAUCAUUUCAACAAUUGAAUACCCUUUGGGGAUUAAUAAAGUUCUUAUUUUUAUUCUUAUUCUUAAUACACUGAAAUUCCUCGUUAACAAUGCUAAAUUUGUUAAUGAAAAUAAAGAUGAUAGGAUUCAGACAAUCAUAAUUGUUAACCAUUUAAACCAAUCAUUCUCUGGCAACACUCGAGCUGGUCCAGGUUCUUCUAAAAAUCAUUGUCCUAUGAAAAGCCAAACAAUGUUCCUGCUGCAGCUGACAUCACUGACAAUGAGCGACUCUGAAGAAAGAGACAACCUGUGGACACUUGUGUAAUUGGGUCUGCUCUGAUUUGUUCUGCGGAUCCUUUGAAAGGGUAGUUUAACUCAUCAUCACACCUUUUAGUGAUCAGCAUAUGGUACAAAUUAAACAACUUCUCCAGAGCUGAGAGCUGAUUCUAACUCCUUCUCCCUUUUUUCAGAUCUGAGAGUCAGCUGAUCCCAGACCUGCUCUAACUCUCUAAUCCUGAUGAGUCAGAGUCAACAGAAGUGGUCACGGUGCCUUUUGAGAGCAACCUUCAUCAGAGUCCUUCUCUCUGAGCCCUUUCUUCAUCUCUUCAUCUCUGUGGCUCAGAUUUAUUGGAGGACUGACGCUGAAAUUUCAGGCUUCCUUCUGCCCGCUGGAUCAGGAUCACACAGCCAACUGUGGACUGCUUCACACCUCCAUUAAUCUGAGUCUUCUGCUCUCACUGAUGGAGAGACAAAAGAGCCACAGCGCCCCCUGCUGCAAGUAACAACACAUGACCUCAAGCAAGGUAUGGAUCUGUCUGCAGAGGGACAUGACAGGAGUUGGGUAUCUGUUUCCACAAAGAUAAAAUCAACACAUUUUUACCCACAAAGAGCAAAUUUUUCUCAGCAGAAACAUGAAAAUGAGAGAGUUUGACUGUCAAAGUAAAACAGUUUUUGUAUUUAUUUAAAACUUCUAAAAAAAAAAUUAGGUAAACUCCGGAAAUACUGAGGCAAACCCAUGCUUUUAUUUUGAAAACAGAAAUCCAUCCAUUUUCUACCACAUAUUCCCAUUCCCGGGGUUGCAAGUGGGGGUAAGCCUAUCCCAGCAUCUUUGGGCAAAGGCAGGGGACACCCUGGACAAGUCGCCAGUUCAUCGCAGAGCUGACAUAUAGAGACAAACAACCAUCCACACUCACAUUAACACCUACAGGCAAUUUGAGAGCGGCCAAUUAACUGUACCCCACUUAGGCAUGUUUUUGGGAUGUGGGAGGAAACUGGAGUACCCGGAGUAAACCCACACAGACACAGGGAGAACAUGCAAACUCCACAGAGAAUUGCCCUGACCCGGAUUCGAACCCAGGACCUU
rnacentral:lncRNA from 1 species